GAUCUGGGACAAUGAUCACUUAACUCUUUUCCUUACAUUUCUAUUGCUUAGAAAUUAAAGAGAAACACAGCAAGUUAUCAAGACUGAACUGAAGCAACUUGUCUUUUCUGGAAAAAAGAUGCUUAAAAAUAAGCAAAACAAAGAUGUUGCAAACAAGCAAGAGGUAACAUACACAGAAUUGAAAUUUCCCAUGUCUCAACAGAAGCAAAGAAUACCCAAGACAGACCAGAGCAAUGUCGUAUCAAGUGAAGAGCAAGCAAAGUUCAUGGAACUGAAAUUUACCUCUUCUCAUCUACAGCACGAAAGAAGGUUUGCUAGGAAAAAAAGAAAAGUGUCUGACUACCUAUCUAUAGCAUGGCAAGCAACAACUGGGAGUCUAGGGGUCUUGUGUAUAAUCUUGAUGACAACAGUGGGUGUCUUGCUUGCAAACUUAUUUUUUACCAGAGAAGAGCAAAACCAAAAAAUAGCACUUAUUCCCAGUCUACCUUCUAAAAAUGGUG